rnacentral:rRNA from 1 species
UACGUAGGGUGCAAGCGUUAAUCGGAAUUACUGGGCGUAAAGCGUGCGCAGGCGGUUGUGCAAGACAGAUGUGAAAUCCCCGGGCUUAACCUGGGAACUGCAUUUGUGACUGCAAGGCUGGAGUGCGGCAGAGGGGGAUGGAAUUCCGCGUGUAGCAGUGAAAUGCGUAGAUAUGCGGAGGAACACCGAUGGCGAAGGCAAUCCCCUGGGCCUGCACUGACGCUCAUGCACGAAAGCGUGGGGAGCAAACAGG